CAGAAGCUUUGGAUAGGGUUCUUCGUAUGGUGGAUGGAGAUGGCAUGCCAAUUGGUUUCCUUUAUGAGGCCAUGGAUAAGGCCAAAGAGGCCAUUUUGCAUAACUAUGGUGGAAACAACAAAAAAUCAAAUCAUUGGACACAUCAUUGAUCAUAGAUGGACAAAUUAACUCCACCAGCAUGCCUUGGCCUACCACUUGAACCCAAAAUUAUAUUUCUCUAAUACAUUUAAGGCUGACGAGGAGGUCAUGGUAGGUGUUAUUACGUGCAUUGAUAAGAUGGUGCCAAAUCGUGAGAUGAGAGACAAAGGUCUUGAUGAGUGGGAGGUCUACAAGGAUGCGGAGGGGAGAAUCUUUUCUUUAGCUCAAGCAAUUUAAAGGAGAGAAAAACAACCAAAUUAAUGGUAGGAGAAUUAUGGUGUUGCCACACCAUAUCUUCAAAGGCUAGCCAUCCAUAUUUUAUCCCGGCCAUGUAUUGCUUAUGGGUGUGGGUGUGAACACAAUUGGAGCUUUUUUGAGAGCAUUCACAUAAAGAAAGAAACAUGUUGACUCAGGGGCGCCUCGAUGAUCUUGUCUUCAUUUGACAACUUUUGCCUUCAAACUAAAAAGGUGGGAGGGCAUUUCACAUGAAUCCAUUGACUUGGAUGAUAUUGAUCCUUAUGGUGAAUGGACUGUUGAUAAACAAGAUGAUGCUCUACUUACUGAUGAAGAUCUUGUAGAAUUGGAGAGAGAAGCAGCAAAAGCAGCAGAAUUGGAUGCAGUGGAGGAAAACAAAGACACUUUUGAAGAAACAAUCCAUCAUCAUUUUUGAUACUAUAGAACCUUGUAGUUUAUUUGGUUGUUUUUCUCGUUUUGACAUAUCAUCAUAUGUAAACAUAUAUAAAUUUAUAAUGCUGAUAUACAUUUGAAACUAUGA